CCCUUAGAUGUUCUGGGCAGCACGCGCGCUACAAUGGUCUUCGCAAACGGAUGCAUUCUCGAAGGAGAAUGCCAAUCUUGGAAUCUAUGCCUUGGUCGGGACAGUUGCUUGCAAUUUUUCGACUCGAACCAGGAAUUCCUUGUAAUCGUGAUUCAUCACAUCACGAUGAAUACGUCCCUGCCCUUUGUACACACCGCCCGUCGCUCCUACCGAUCGAAGAGUUAGGUGAAUUGUUUUGAUCGAUAAGAUUUGACUAUGGUCAACUCUCGUUGUGAAAUUCUGUGAAUCCGACUGUUUAGAGGAAGGAAAGGUCGUAACA
rnacentral:rRNA from 1 species